rnacentral:rRNA from 1 species
AGAGUUUGAUCCUGGCUCAGGAUGAACGCUAGCGACAGGCUUAACACAUGCAAGUCGAGGGGCAGCGGGGGUAGCAAUACCCGCCGGCGACCGGCGCACGGGUGAGUAACGCGUAUGCAACUUACCUAUCAGAGGGGGAUAACCCGGCGAAAGUCGGACUAAUACCGCAUGAAGCAGGGGCCCCGCAUGGGGAUAUUUGCUAAAGAUUCAUCGCUGAUAGAUAGGCAUGCGUUCCAUUAGGCAGUUGGCGGGGUAACGGCCCACCAAACCGACGAUGGAUAGGGGUUCUGAGAGGAAGGUCCCCCACAUUGGUACUGAGACACGGACCAAACUCCUACGGGAGGCAGCAGUGAGGAAUAUUGGUCAAUGGGCGUAAGCCUGAACCAGCCAAGUCGCGUGAGGGAUGAAGGUUCUAUGGAUCGUAAACCUCUUUUAUAAGGGAAUAAAGUGCGGGACGUGUCCCGUUUUGUAUGUACCUUAUGAAUAAGGAUCGGCUAACUCCGUGCCAGCAGCCGCGGUAAUACGGAGGAUCCGAGCGUUAUCCGGAUUUAUUGGGUUUAAAGGGUGCGUAGGCGGCCUUUUAAGUCAGCGGUGAAAGUCUGUGGCUCAACCAUAGAAUUGCCGUUGAAACUGGGGGGCUUGAGUAUGUUUGAGGCAGGCGGAAUGCGUGGUGUAGCGGUGAAAUGCUUAGAUAUCACGCAGAACCCCGAUUGCGAAGGCAGCCUGCCAAGCCAUGACUGACGCUGAUGCACGAAAGCGUGGGGAUCAAACAGGAUUAGAUACCCUGGUAGUCCACGCAGUAAACGAUGAUCACUAGCUGUUUGCGAUACAGUGUAAGCGGCACAGCGAAAGCGUUAAGUGAUCCACCUGGGGAGUACGCCGGCAACGGUGAAACUCAAAGGAAUUGACGGGGGCCCGCACAAGCGGAGGAACAUGUGGUUUAAUUCGAUGAUACGCGAGGAACCUUACCCGGGUUUGAACGCAUUNNNNNNUUUGCGAGGUGCUGCAUGGUUGUCGUCAGCUCGUGCCGUGAGGUGUCGGCUUAAGUGCCAUAACGAGCGCAACCCUUGCCACUAGUUACUAACAGGUGAUGCUGAGGACUCUGGUGGGACUGCCAGCGUAAGCUGCGAGGAAGGCGGGGAUGACGUCAAAUCAGCACGGCCCUUACAUCCGGGGCGACACACGUGUUACAAUGGCGUGGACAAAGGGAAGCCACCUGGCGACAGGGAGCGAAUCCCCAAACCACGUCUCAGUUCGGAUCGGAGUCUGCAACCCGACUCCGUGAAGCUGGAUUCGCUAGUAAUCGCGCAUCAGCCAUGGCGCGGUGAAUACGUUCCCGGGCCUUGUACACACCGCCCGUCAAGCCAUGGGAGCCGGGGGUACCUGAAGUCCGUAACCGCGAGGAUCGGCCUAGGGUAAAACUGGUGACUGGGGCUAAGUCGUAACAAGGUAGCCGUACCGGAAGGUGCGGCUG